rnacentral:rRNA from 1 species
GUGCCAGCAGCCGCGGUAAGACGGAGGAGGCAAGCGUUAUCCGGAAUUAUUGGGCGUAAAGAGCUCGUAGGCGGCUCGGUAAGUCAGGUGUGAAAUUCCAGGGCUCAACCCUGGAACGCCACCUGAUACUGCCGUGGCUAGAGUCCGGUAGGGGAGCGUGGAAUUCCUAGUGUAGCGGUGAAAUGCGCAGAUAUUAGGAGGAACACCAGCGGCGAAGGCGGCGCUCUGGGCCGGAACUGACGCUGAGGAGCGAAAGCGUGGGGAGCAAACAGGAUUAGAUACCCUGGUAGUCCACGCCGUAAACGUUGGGCACUAGGUGUGGGACUCACUCAACGGGUUCCGUGCCGAAGCUAACGCAUUAAGUGCCCCGCCUGGGGAGUACGGCCGCAAGGCUAAAACUUAAAUGAAUUGACGGGG